rnacentral:rRNA from 1 species
AGAAUCAACGCUGGCGGCGUGCCUAACACAUGCAAGUCGAACGAGAAAGGGGAGCAAUCCCUGAGUAAAGUGGCGCACGGGUGAGUAACACGUGACUAACCUACCCUGGAGUGGGGGGAUAACUGAGGGAAACCUUAGCUAAUACCGCAUAACACCUACGGGUCAAAGGAGCAAUUCGCUUUGGGAGGGGGUCGCGGCCGAUUAGUUAGUUGGCGGGGUAAUGGCCCACCAAGACAGUGAUCGGUAUCCGGCCUGAGAGGGCGCACGGACACACUGGAACUGAAACACGGUCCAGACUCCUACGGGAGGCAGCAGUGGGGAAUUUUGCGCAAUGGGGGAAACCCUGACGCAGCAACGCCGCGUGGAGGAUGAAGUACUUCGGUACGUAAACUCCUUUCGAUCGGGACGAUAAUGACGGUACCGGAAGAAGAAGCCCGGCUAACUCGUGCCAGCAGCCGC